rnacentral:lncRNA from 10 species
GCAACCAAGAAGGACACUCAUCUCCUAAAAAAAAAAAAAAAAAGCAACCUGUUCAGAGGAGUUUUGGAAUAAAUAAGAGAUGAAAGGAAAGCUGUAUGCUAAUAAUAACUAUGGCUAACAUUUACUUAGCACUUACUGUAUUCCAGGUAUGAUACUAGAUAUUUCAUGUACAUGUCCUUUUAUUUAAUUCUUAAACAAUGUGAAUUUACCAACCUACUUUACACCUAGCAUGGAAUAAAAGCACAGGUUAAAAUUUUUAUUUGGAAGGAACAAUUUCUGUAACUUUCAAACAAAAUACCUUAUUUGACCUUUCUGACAAGGAGAGAGUGGUUCAGUAUAUUUCUCAGGAGGUAUCAUUUAUGUAAAGUCUUUAAUUCUAAUCAGAGAGGAGGCAGAUAACUAGAAUGUCUUAGCAAAGAGA